UACAGAGGCCCCAAGCGUUACUGAGAAUCACUGGGUUUAAAGGGUGCGUAGGUGGCGCGUUAAGUCCGUUGUGAAAGCUCGGGGCUCAACUCCGAGUCGGCCGUGCGAACUGGGAAGCUGGAGCACAGUAGAGGCGGGUGGAAUUCCGGGUGUAGCGGUGGAAUGCGUAGAGAUCCGGAAGAACACCGGUGGCGAAGGCGGGUCUCUAGGCCGAUACUGACGCUGAGGAGCGAAAGCGUGGGGAGCGAACAGG
rnacentral:rRNA from 1 species